rnacentral:tRNA from 1 species
GGAAGGGUGUCCGAGUGGUUUAAGGAGCACGCCUGGAACGCGUGUAUAGGGGAAACCCUAUCGGAGGUUCGAAUCCUCUCCCUUCCGCCA